rnacentral:rRNA from 1 species
GUAAGCGCACGCAGGCGGUCUGUCAAGUCGGAUGUGAAAUCCCCGGGCUCAACCUGGGAACUGCAUUCGAAACUGGCAGGCUAGAGUCUUGUAGAGGGGGGUAGAAUUCCAGGUGUAGCGGUGAAAUGCGUAGAGAUCUGGAGGAAUACCGGUGGCGAAGGCGGCCCCCUGGACAAAGACUGACGCUCAGGUGCGAAAGCGUGGGGAGCAAACAGGAUUAGAUACCCUGGUAGUCCACGCCGUAAACGAUGUCGAUUUGGAGGUUGUGCCCUUGAGGCGUGGCUUCCGGAGCUAACGCGUUAAAUCGACCGCCUGGGGAGUACGGCCGCAAGGUUAAAACUCAAAUGAAUUGACGGGGGCCCGCACAAGCGGUGGAGCAUGUGGUUUAAUUCGAUGCAACGCGAAAAACCUUACCUGGUCUUGACAUCCACAGAACUUACCAGAGAUGGUUUGGUGCCUUCGGGAACUGUGAGACAGGUGCUGCAUGGCUGUCGUCAGCUCGUGUUGUGAAAUGUUGGGUUAAGUCCCGCCACGAGCGGCAACCC